AUGUGGUGAUCCAUGUGGCGGUGCGACGUCGGCUGUCGGAUCGAACCUCCUCUCACGGAUCUUGCCACCCUAUCUUCAACUCCCCCGGACCUCCCUCUCUCUCUGUUCUCUCUCUCCUCUAUAUCUAAAGCACAUAGGGAAUCCAGAUUCAGCGUUACGGAACACAACACUUGAAGAGGCUGCAAUGGGUUCUUGGGUUCGCACCAUCACUACCCCCUUCAGGAAAGCUUGCACCCUCAUCAGUCCACCCAGAGACAAGAAGCCGCAAACAGCGGGACACGACCGGCACAGGACGGCACUACACGGCGAGGUGAUGGCCUGCGCCUACCACGACGUGCAGGUGAUGUGGUCCAUCCUCGACAAGUCCAGCCCCGGAGAAGAUCAUGCCCGACGCUGAGGACCCCCCCGAGUCUCUUAUAUGUUGUGCAGGUGUACAUUCUGGUCGGCCAAACGAUCGCUCUGGUGUUGGAGAACGAGAGUCGACUUGGCCUUUGUACUGUGAAGCCUUUUCCUUGGUUGGAAUCCCCAUGGCAUUGUUCGGUGAAGCACGAUGUGCAGUUCGUCCCCUUUGUACAAACACUUGGCCAUGCAAUUGUGGGGAAGCUUGUAAAUGGUCAUCUACAUCUCUCUCUCUGCAUCAAUGAUCCAAUCACCAUCGUCCGUUGUAGGGCA